GGAUGCCCUGGCAGUCAGAGGCGAUGAAGGGCGUGCUAAUCUGCGAUAAGCGCCGGUAAGGUGAUAUGAACCGUUAUAACCGGCGAUACCCGAAUGGGGAAACCCAGUGUGACUCGUCACACUAUCAUUAACUGAAUCCAUAGGUUAAUGAGGCGAACCGGGGGAACUGAAACAUCUAAGUACCCCGAGGAAAAGAAAUCAACCGAGAUUCCCCCAGUAGCGGCGAGCGAACGGGGAGGAGCCCAGAGCCUGAAUCAGCAUGUGUGUUAGUGGAAGCGUCUGGAAAGGCGCGCGAUACAGGGUGACAGCCCCGUACACAAAAGCGCAUGUGCUGUGAGCUCGAUGAGUAGGGCGGGACACGUGGUAUCCUGUCUGAAUAUGGGGGGACCAUCCUCCAAGGCUAAAUACUCCUGACUGACCGAUAGUGAACCAGUACCGUGAGGGAAAGGCGAAAAGAACCCCGGCGAGGGGAGUGAAAAAGAACCUGAAACCGUGUACGUACAAGCAGUGGGAGCACAGGUUUACCUGUGUGACUGCGUACCUUUUGUAUAAUGGGUCAGCGACUUAUAUUCUGUAGCAAGGUUAACCGAAUAGGGGAGCCGGAGGGAAACCGAGUCUUAAUUGGGCGUUAAGUUGCAGGGUAUAGACCCGAAACCCGGUGAUCUAGCCAUGGGCAGGUUGAAGGUUGGGUAACACUAACUGGAGGACCGAACCGACUAAUGUUGAAAAAUUAGCGGAUGACCUGUGGCUGGGGGUGAAAGGCCAAUCAAACCGGGAGAUAGCUGGUUCUCCCCGAAAGCUAUUUAGGUAGCGCCUCGUGAAUUCAUCUCCGGGGGUAGAGCACUGUUUCGGCUAGGGGGCCAUCCCGGCUUACCAACCCGAUGCAAACUGCGAAUACCGGAGAAUGUUAUCACGGGAGACACACGGCGGGUGCUAACGUCCGUCGUGAAGAGGGAAACAACCCAGACCGCCAGCUAAGGUCCCAAAGUCAUGGUUAAGUGGGAAACGAUGUGGGAAGGCCCAGACAGCCAGGAUGUUGGCUUAGAAGCAGCCAUCAUUUAAAGAAAGCGUAAUAGCUCACUGGUCGAGUCGGCCUGCGCGGAAGAUGUAACGGGGCUAAACCAUGCACCGAAGCUGCGGCAGCGACACUGUGUGUUGUUGGGUAGGGGAGCGUUCUGUAAGCCUGUGAAGGUGUGUCGUGAGGCAUGCUGGAGGUAUCAGAAGUGCGAAUGCUGACAUAAGUAACGAUAAAGCGGGUGAAAAGCCCGCUCGCCGGAAGACCAAGGGUUCCUGUCCAACGUUAAUCGGGGCAGGGUGAGUCGACCCCUAAGGCGAGGCCGAAAGGCGUAGUCGAUGGGAAACGGGUUAAUAUUCCCGUACUUGGUGUUACUGCGAAGGGGGGACGGAGAAGGCUAUGUUGGCCGGGCGACGGUUGUCCCGGUUUAAGCGUGUAGGUGUGUGUUCCAGGUAAAUCCGGUUCACUUUAACACUGAGGCGUGACGACGAGGCACUACGGUGCUGAAGCAACAAAUGCCCUGCUUCCAGGAAAAGCCUCUAAGCAUCAGGUAACAUCAAAUCGUACCCCAAACCGACACAGGUGGUCAGGUAGAGAAUACCAAGGCGCUUGAGAGAACUCGGGUGAAGGAACUAGGCAAAAUGGUGCCGUAACUUCGGGAGAAGGCACGCUGACACGUAGGUGAAGUGAUUUACUCAUGGAGCUGAAGUCAGUCGAAGAUACCAGCUGGCUGCAACUGUUUAUUAAAAACACAGCACUGUGCAAACACGAAAGUGGACGUAUACGGUGUGACGCCUGCCCGGUGCCGGAAGGUUAAUUGAUGGGGUCAGCGCAAGCGAAGCUCCUGAUCGAAGCCCCGGUAAACGGCGGCCGUAACUAUAACGGUCCUAAGGUAGCGAAAUUCCUUGUCGGGUAAGUUCCGACCUGCACGAAUGGCGUAAUGAUGGCCAGGCUGUCUCCACCCGAGACUCAGUGAAAUUGAACUCGCUGUGAAGAUGCAGUGUACCCGCGGCAAGACGGAAAGACCCCGUGAACCUUUACUAUAGCUUGACACUGAACAUUGAGCCUUGAUGUGUAGGAUAGGUGGGAGGCUUUGAAGUGUGGACGCCAGUCUGCAUGGAGCCGACCUUGAAAUACCACCCUUUAAUGUUUGAUGUUCUAACGUGGACCCGUUACCCGGGUUGCGGACAGUGUCUGGUGGGUAGUUUGACUGGGGCGGUCUCCUCCUAAAGAGUAACGGAGGAGCACGAAGGUUGGCUAAUCCUGGUCGGACAUCAGGAGGUUAGUGCAAUGGCAUAAGCCAGCUUGACUGCGAGCGUGACGGCGCGAGCAGGUGCGAAAGCAGGUCAUAGUGAUCCGGUGGUUCUGAAUGGAAGGGCCAUCGCUCAACGGAUAAAAGGUACUCCGGGGAUAACAGGCUGAUACCGCCCAAGAGUUCAUAUCGACGGCGGUGUUUGGCACCUCGAUGUCGGCUCAUCACAUCCUGGGGCUGAAGUAGGUCCCAAGGGUAUGGCUGUUCGCCAUUUAAAGUGGUACGCGAGCUGGGUUUAGAACGUCGUGAGACAGUUCGGUCCCUAUCUGCCGUGGGCGCUGGAGAACUGAGGGGGGCUGCUCCUAGUACGAGAGGACCGGAGUGGACGCAUCACUGGUGUUCGGGUUGUCAUGCCAAUGGCACUGCCCGGUAGCUAAAUGCGGAAGAGAUAAGUGCUGAAAGCAUCUAAGCACGAAACUUGCCCCGAG
rnacentral:rRNA from 1 species